UACGUAGGGGCCUAGCGUUGUCCGGAUUUAUUGGGCGUAAAGAGCUCGUAGGCGGUUCGGUAAGUCAGGUGUGAAAUCUCCACGCUCAACGUGGAGGCGCCACCUGAAACUGCCGUGACUCGAGUCCGGUAGGGGAGUGGAACUGCGAGUGUAGAGGUGAAAUUCGUAGAUAUUCGCAAGAACACCAGUGGCGAAGGCGGCUCACUGGCCCGGUACUGACGCUGAGGCACGAAAGCGUGGGGAGCAAACAGG
rnacentral:rRNA from 1 species